AGAGCGAACGCUGGCGGCAGGCUUAACACAUGCAAGUCGAACGGACUCUUCGGAGUUAGUGGCGGACGGGUGAGUAACACGUGGGAACGUGCCUUUAGGUUCGGAACAACACAGGGAAACUUGUGCUAAUACCGGAUAAGCCUUUCGAGGGAAAGAUUUAUCGCCUUUAGAGCGGCCCGCGUCUGAUUAGCUAGUUGGUGAGGUAAAGGCUCACCAAGGCUACGAUCAGUAGCUGGU
rnacentral:rRNA from 1 species